rnacentral:lncRNA from 1 species
AAUUGCACAGACGUGUAAACAUAACUAAUCUUCGAAAAUAUAAAACAUCCUUAGCAGCUAUUUGUAAUGGUUCAAUCUUAACAGCUUCAUGUGAUUCUUCAAACUUCAUACUUGGAUUGCUCCAAAUUCCUCAGAAACAUUUUCCAUCUCGGAAGAACAAGUCUCAAUAAACUUCUUCUUGAUAGCACACAAAACAUAGUCUCUACGAUCUUCAUCAAACUGAUGGAGAAUAACAUUAGAG